AUCGAACGCUGGCGGCAGGCCUAACACAUGCAAGUCGAACGGUAACAGGAAACAGCUUGCUGUUUCGCUGACGAGUGGCGGACGGGUGAGUAAUGUCUGGGAAACUGCCUGAUGGAGGGGGAUAACUACUGGAAACGGUAGCUAAUACCGCAUAACGUCGCAAGACCAAAGAGGGGGACCCUCGGGCCUCUUGCCAUCGGAUGUGCCCAGAUGGGAUUAGCUUGUUGGUGGGGUAACGGCUCACCAAGGCGACGAUCCCUAGCUGGUCUGAGAGGAUGACCAGCCACACUGGAACUGAGACACGGUCCAGACUCCUACGGGAGGCAGCAGUGGGGAAUAUUGCACAAUGGGCGCAAGCCUGAUGCAGCCAUGCCGCGUGUAUGAAGAAGGCCUUCGGGUUGUAAAGUACUUUCAGCGGGGAGGAAGGGAGUAAAGUUAAUACCUUUGCUCAUUGACGUUACCCGCAGAAGAAGCACCGGCUAACUCCGUGCCAGCCGCCGCGGUAACAC
rnacentral:rRNA from 1 species